GACGUAGGGCGCGAGCGUUGUCCGGAUUUAUUGGGCGUAAAGAGCGUGUAGGCGGCCAGACAGGUCCGUUGUGAAAACUCGAGGCUCAACCUCGAGACGCCGAUGGAAACCGUCUGGCUAGAGUCCGGAAGAGGAGAGUGGAAUUCCCGGUGUAGCGGUGAAAUGCGCAGAUAUCGGGAAGAACACCCGUGGCUAAGGCGGCUCUCUAGUACGGUACUGACGCUGAGACGCGAAAGCGUGGGGAGCGAACAGG
rnacentral:rRNA from 1 species